rnacentral:lncRNA from 1 species
UUUGGAGUAUUAAACCCAGACAAGUAUCUAAUUUACACGAUCGACACUAAAAACAAAAUUAAGUUCCUUAUGGAUUCAGGAGCUCAAGUCUCUGUUUUACCCAAAAAAUUGGCACUUUAAGGUUUUAGAAAGACUAAGGUACGGUCCUUGGUCGCCUUCGGAGGACAAAGAGUUGUUCCUUUGGGGACGUCGUCCCUGGAUAUCGUCCUUGACGGGAAGAACUUAUCUUGGAUUUUUUAUGUAGUAGACAAGGUUCCUCCAAUUUUGGGAGUUGAUUUUUUACGACGUCACAAUUUAAGCACUGACGUCAUGAGUAGCUCUCUUUUUAAAAGACCGACAUGCCUUCACCUCAACAAAAUCACACGUGAGGACGAGUUCAUGGAACAGUUCCCUUUGCUCUUCUCUUCCUGGGAUUCUCACACAACUGUUCGGUACUCGGUGAAACACUUGAUAAUUACUUCGGUCGCAUGUCUGAGCUGGAUCACUAUUCCCUUCCCAAUAUGAGGGACUCUUAAGGCCUUGGAGGAUCCAAAGUGUUCAGUAAGGUGGAUUUAUGCAAGGCAUCCAUCCUAUCUUUACCGGGAGCCUCAUUUUCGCUAUUGCACCAUUUGUUGGGAUCAGCUCCCCGCUUACCUAUGUCGUUGGCAGAUUCAUCUGAUGCUCCGAAGGACAGGAACCUUUUCGGCAGUGAUAAAUCGGAAACAUAUUCUGCCGCGAAUUAUUUCUCAACCUUCAAGCCGAGUCCAGUUUUCUCUAGAUGCACUCAAAAAGGCGAGUCAAAUUUUUAUUAAAAACAGGCCGAUCAAGCCAGCUUCAUCUUCUACGUACCUUGGUCCAUUCAAUGUAUUGUCUAAAUCCGACAGGACUUUCAAAAUUGACUUGGGUCAUCGGUGCGACAUUGUAUUGGUCGACCGUUUGAAGCCUGCUUUUGGUGUUUAGAGCAUUCUCCCUGCUUUUUAAAACUUAUUUUAGAUCCUGCACCAAGGAUUUUAUCAUUCAUUUUACGCUUUUAUUUCUAUUUUCUCAAUUUAUGAUUUUAUUUAAAUGCACUCAUUUAUAUUUUUAUUUUUUUGCAUGUUCUCAUUUAUUAAUGCUUAUAAUUGAUUGGUUGAUUUUAGUUUGGCGUAGAAUCUUCCAAGAGCACUGAAGGACCUCUUAGAGCUCGUCUUGUUUAUACCAAUAAUAUGUCUCAUAGAAGGACUCCAAUAAAGUCAGUUGAAGUAAGAUAACUGUAUAUAUAAACUAAA